ensembl:lncRNA
ACGGGAGAAACUGAAAAGACCAGAUGUGUGUUCUUCAACCAGUCACAUAGCUAGAGCCUCACUUUCACUAUUUUUGGGUUCUUGAAGCAAAUAACCAAAGCCACAUUCAAGGACCCAAAAAUCUUCUCUCAGGAGAAAUUUUAAAGAUUAAAACUGGUCAUAGUUGACUGUAUGUUCACAGUAAGGCACAGGCCAUUAUUACUCUAUCAAGGCAUUUGAUAUAUGCACAGCAUGGUUCGGUGAUGGUCUUCUCUCCCUGGCUGCAUAAGGAUUAUUUGGGUCACUGUCAUCUUUUCCCAAGUGAUGGCUCUUCUUUCAUUCUCUGCUUUAGUAUGCUGGUAUUUUGUUCAUCUCCAGUGAGAAGUGAUUGGAUUUCUUU